UAUUGAAUUGUAAAAGUUAAAAUAUAAUUUAGUAUUGUACAAAAAUACCUUUUGUCUCAGGGUUUAUAAUUUUUUAUAUUAUUUUAUAGUCGAAUUAAAAAGGUCAAUAAUUUUUUUAUUUAUUUGUUUCAAUAAAUUUUUAAUAAAUUAUAGAAGUGAUACUCUUUCGAUUUUUAAGCUAUCUAAUUUAUAGUUAUUAAAAAUAUAGAAGAGCUAUAUUUUGAUUUUCUUUAUUUUAAAAUAAAUUCUAGGCUUUAAAUUAGCUAUGAUUAAAGUUUGUUAUAAAUUUUGUUUACAGGCAAUUGAUAAAAAAUAUUGUAUAUUAGAAAUAAUUUUUUUAAAUAAUAAUGAUAAAAUUAGUAUUUUUUACUAUUAAUGAUAAUAACUUUGGUUUUAAAUAAAUGUUUAACAAAAACAUUUUUCUUUUAUAAAAGAGUAGUACCUGCCCAGUGAUAAUAAACGGCUGCGGUAUUCUGACUGUGCUAAGGUAGCAUAAUAAUUUGUUUUUUAAUUGGAUACUGGAAUGAACGGUAAUAUAUUUAAUAAUUUUUUUAUUUAUUUAAAUAAAAAAUUUAGGGUUUAAGUUAAAACACUUAAAUUUUUAAAAAAGACGAUAAGACCCUAAAAGCUUUAUUUUGUUUUAGAGUUUAAAUAAGAUUGAUUCUGUAAAAAAAUUUUACUGGGGUAGUAAAAAAAUUAGUUUUUUUAUUUUAAACUUUGUGGUUUAAUAUUCCUUAAUAUUAGGAUUUUAGGUUAGUUACUUUAGGGAUAACAGCGUAAUAGUGUUGAAAAGAACAUAUUUAUAAUACUGAUUACGACCUCGAUGUUGAAUUAAUUAAUCUUUUUAAAGCAGAAUUUAAAUAAGAAGGUUUGUUCAACCUUUAAUUAAUUACAUGAUUUGAGUUCAAACCGGUUUAAGCCAGGUUGGUUUCUAUCUUUUUAAAAAUUAUGUAAUGUUUUAGUACGAAAGGACCAAAUAUUUUUUUUAG
rnacentral:rRNA from 1 species